UUGGGGUAAAUUUAAUAAAAAAAAAAUAAUAAAAGAAAUUUUAUAAAAAUAUAUUUUAAUGGGGGUUAAAGUAUAUAUAAUAGAAAAAAUUUGAAAUUUUAUAGUGAAUUAGUAUUGUGUAAGAAUAUUGAAAUAUUAUGAAAAUAAAUUAUUAAGAAAGUAAAUUUAAUUUAUUGUAUCUUGAGUAUCAAAGUUUAUUAAUAAAAUUUUUCAAAAAAAAAAAUCUUGAAUUUAAAAGAGUUAAUUAAUUAAAAAAGUUAUUGUUUCAUAAAUAUUUUUAAUAAUUAAUUUGAAAUGAAAUGUUAAUCGUUUUUAAAUAUAUCCAGUUUUUUUAGAAAUAAAUUUAAUUUAAAAUUUUUUUUUAUAAAAAUUAAUUAAUUAAUUUUUAUUUAUAAAAAUUUAAUAUUUUAAGGGAUAAGCUUUAAAUUAAAAUUUUAUAAUAAAUAAUUAUUAGAAUUUAAAAUUUUUAAAAUUUAUAUUGUUUAUAAAUUUUAUUUUUUUAUAAAAAAUUUUAUUUUUAAUAAAAUUUUUGAUUACAUAUUUAAUUUUUUAUAAAAAAAUAAUUUUUAAUAAGUUAAAAUUAGUUAUAAUGAUAAAAUUAGUAUAAUUUAAAUAAGAUUUAAUUUUAAUAUAUUUAAAAGUAAAAAAAAGGAAUUCGGCAAAUAUUUAUAUUCACUUGUUUAUCAAAAACAUGUCUUUUUGAGAAUAAUUUAAAGUCUAAUCUGCCCACUGAUUAAAUAGAUUAAAGGGCUGCAGUAUAUUGACUGUACAAAGGUAGCAUAAUCAUUAGUCUUUUGAUUGAAGACUUGUAUGAAAGAUUUGAUGAAAUAUAAACUGUCUCUUUUUUAUAAUUUGAAUUUAAUUUUUUAGUUAAAAAGCUAAAAUAAAUUUAAAAGACGAGAAGACCCUAUAGAGUUUGAUAAUUAAUUUAAUUAUAAUUUUAUAUGAAUAAUUUAAUAAAAAUUAAAUUAAUUAUUUUAUUGGGGUGAUAAAAAAAUUAAAUAAACUUUUUUUAUUAGUUAACAUUAAUUAAUGAAUUUAUGAUCCAUAAUUUAUGAUUAUAAGAAAAAAUUACCUUAGGGAUAACAGCGUAAUUUUUUUUUUUAGUUCAAAUAAAAAUAAAAGUUUGCGACCUCGAUGUUGGAUUAAGAUAAAAUUUAAAUGCAGAAGUUUAAAAUUUUUGAUCUGUUCGAUCAUUAAAAUCUUACAUGAUCUGAGUUCAAACCGGUGUAAGCCAGGUUGGUUUCUAUCUUUAGAUGAUUAAAAUAUUUUAGUACGAAAGGAUUAAAUAUUUAAAAUAUAUUUUAAUUUAAAGAACUUCAUUAAAAAUUUAUAAAUAUAUUAAUUAUUAAUUAUAAUUUAUACAAAUAGUUAC
rnacentral:rRNA from 1 species